rnacentral:lncRNA from 1 species
GGGCGCCCAAAGCAAGUCAAUUGUGGAUUACGACGACAUUGGUUUAGACAUGAAGGCCAGGUGUUCAUAUAUAUAUAGGAGGAUGACACACGUGGUCAUGACCGUAUACAUGACCAUGCAUCCACACCCACUAUAUGUCGUACGUAAUAUUCACGCAUCACAGAUGAAAAAUACGCAGCAAGGAAAGAUCUUCUUCCAUUCAUAUGUAGUAUAUGGUCCGGUUAAUAAAUUCCGAUGAUGAGCGUUGAGUUCUUGAGGUGGCGCUUUUUUUUUUUUGAAGGGGGUUCUUGAGGUGGCUAUACUAGCUAGCAAUCAUAUAUCGUGGCAUAACCAUUUUCUUAGGCAUGUUACGGAGUUAAGCAUAGUGUCAUCAAUCGCCAUCACAAUUUACCAUUUGCUGUGCCAGGUGCUGCCGUUGAGCACCAUCAGUACUGCUGUUUCUGAUUGAUUGCGCCGUACGUGCAAAUCUCUGAUUGGUGAUCACCAUUGAACGGCCGCAACCAGGUGCAAAUCCAUUGCGUACGGAAGCUCUCCAUUUAAUCACUGCUAGCCAGAGGCCAGAUGGAGCAUGCGUACGUGCUAGCUGGAGUUUAGUCCUGAGGAAGCACGCACCACACAUCCUUCUCAACUCCUC